GUUUCCUUUCAAUCUGUCCUGUUUUUUUGUCAUCCAAAAAUCAUUUUUCGCUGGUCUCGCGUUUUAAUACUCUUGCUUAAUUUUCCGAGCAUUUCUUCUUGUAGUGGUUUUGCUUAUGAAAUCUUCAAUUUUGCUUUCAUAGUUUGUUGAUAUAUGCACGAGCGCACGUUGCUGAUUUCUGAAUGAAUAUUCAUCUAAAAUAAAUUCGACUAGUACCUGCUUUUGAAAAAAAAUAAUAAUUAUAACGGAAUA